rnacentral:rRNA from 1 species
AGGUAAGCUACUAAGAGCGAAUGGUGGAUGCCUUGACUGGUAAAGGCGAUGAAGGACGUACUAGACUGCGAUAAGCUACGGGGAGCUGUCAAGAAGCUUUGAUCCGUAGAUUUCCGAAUGGGGCAACCCAAUGUAUAGAGAUAUACAUUACCUAUAUAGGAGCGAACGAGGGGAAUUGAAACAUCUUAGUACCCUCAGGAAAAGAAAUCAAUAGAGAUUGCGUCAGUAGCGGCGAGCGAAAGCGCAAGAGGGCAAACCCAGUGCUUGCACUGGGGGUUGUAGGACUGCAAUGUGCAAGAGGUAAGUUUAGCAGAACAUUCUGGAAAGUAUAACCAUAGAGGGUGAUAGUCCCGUAUGCGAAAAACAAACCUUAGCUAGCAGUAUCCUGAGUAGGGCGGGACACGAGGAAUCCUGUCUGAAUCUGGGUCGACCACGAUCCAACCCUAAAUACUAAUACCAGAUCGAUAGUGCACAAGUACCGUGAGGGAAAGGUGAAAAGAACUGAGGUGAUCAGAGUGAAAUAGAACCUGAAACCAUUUGCUUACAAUCAUUCAGAGCCCUAUGUAGCAAUACAGGGUGAUGGACUGCCUUUUGCAUAAUGAGCCUGCGAGUUGUGGUGUCUGGCAAGGUUAAGCAAACGCGAAGCCGUAGCGAAAGCGAGUCUGAAUAGGGCGCUUAGUCAGAUGCUGCAGACCCGAAACGAAGUGAUCUAUCCAUGAGCAAGUUGAAGCUAGUGUAAGAACUAGUGGAGGACUGAACCCAUAGGCGUUGAAAAGCCCCGGGAUGACUUGUGGAUAGGGGUGAAAGGCCAAUCAAACUUCGUGAUAGCUGGUUCUCUCCGAAAUAUAUUUAGGUAUAGCGUUGUGUCGUAAUAUAAGGGGGUAGAGCACUGAAUGGGCUAGGGCAUACACCAAUGUACCAAACCCUAUCAAACUCCGAAUACCUUAUAUGUAAUCACAGCAGUCAGGCGGCGAGUGAUAAAAUCCGUCGUCAAGAGGGAAACAACCCAGACUACCAGCUAAGGUCCCUAAAUCUUACUUAAGUGGAAAACGAUGUGAAGUUACUUAAACAACCAGGAGGUUGGCUUAGAAGCAGCCAUCCUUUAAAGAAAGCGUAAUAGCUCACUGGUCUAGUGAUUUUGCGCGGAAAAUAUAACGGGGCUAAAGUAAGUACCGAAGCUGUAGACUUAGUUUACUAAGUGGUAGGAGAGCGUUCUAUUUGCGUCGAAGGUAUACCGGUAAGGAGUGCUGGAGCGAAUAGAAGUGAGCAUGCAGGCAUGAGUAGCGAUAAUUAAUGUGAGAAUCAUUAACGCCGUAAACCCAAGGUUUCCUACGCGAUGCUCGUCAUCGUAGGGUUAGUCGGGUCCUAAGUCGAGUCCGAAAGGGGUAGACGAUGGCAAAUUGGUUAAUAUUCCAAUACCAACAUUAGUGU